GACGAACGCUGGCGGCGUGCUUAACACAUGCAAGUCGAACGGAAAGGCCCUGCUUUUGUGGGGUGCUCGAGUGGCGAACGGGUGAGUAACACGUGAGUAACCUGCCCCUGACUUUGGGAUAACUUCAGGAAACUGGGGCUAAUACCGGAUAGGAGCUCCUGCUGCAUGGUGGAGGUUGGAAAGUUUCGGCGGUUGGGGAUGGACUCGCGGCUUAUCAGCUUGUUGGUGGGGUAGUGGCUUACCAAGGCUUUGACGGGUAGCCGGCCUGAGAGGGUGACCGGCCACAUUGGGACUGAGAUACGGCCCAGACUCCUACGGGAGGCAGCAGUGGGGAAUAUUGCACAAUGGGCGGAAGCCUGAUGCAGCAACGCCGCGUGCGGGAUGACGGCCUUCGGGUUGUAAACCGCUUUCGCCUGUGACGAAGCGUGAGGGACGGUAAUGGGUAAAGAAGCACCGGCUAACUACGU
rnacentral:rRNA from 1 species